AGUUCAUGACACACAGGAUAUUGUCUGAACAUAAUGAUUUCAAAAUCUCAGCUUAAAGUGACACUCUAAAAUA
rnacentral:snoRNA from 1 species